AUGCUUCUCCUAAAGACUAAGCCAUGCAUGCCUCCGAAUAGAAGAGCAUUCUCUCUGAAUCUGCGAACGGCUCCGCAAACCAGUUGUAAACCAUAGCGAGCAUGUCCCUGGGCGGACCGCAAGGCGAGCUCAGGGGCGAUAAGGAUAACCCUGGUAAUUCUGAGGCUAAUACAAGAACGUAAAACCUGGCUGACCGGCAACGGGAGGUUGGGGGGCGUGCGACAUAUGCAAAAGAUAACUGGGAAUGGGUGCACGUUCAGACCGCCAUCCAAACGGUAGCGCUGGUUCGCCAGUGCGUCCGGGCGGCUCUCGCGUUGUGCUUCUGACCUAUCAACUAGAUGGCAGCGUAAGGGACAUGCUAUGGUGACAACGGGUACAGAGGAUAAGGGUUCGAUCCUGGAGAGUGGGCCUGAGAGAUUGCUCACACUUCUAAGGAAAGGCAGCAGGCGCGCAAACGUUCCCCUUGGGCAAUGCUCGAGGGCGUUAGGGGACAUAUGAAUGCCUGCCAAUAGGUGGGCAAUUCAAAUGG
rnacentral:rRNA from 1 species